UGUUAGAAAACACAUGCCAGGCAUGAUUUGUGUUGGCGUCACAGUUUCUGACCACGCUGGCUUGAUAUUUUUGUGUCAAACACGCCACCGCAGGAGCGACGAGACCAUGCGAAACCCCCCUCAAUACCGCUGUGCCUGGUCCAGUCCGGCCAGCACCCGCUACCAUGGCAGCGCCCAGCUCCUAUCUGCUCAUCGGUCAGCUUGUGAUCUGAAACUGAAAACUAAAGUUGCCAAGACAAUAGCUGGGCUUAACAGACAUUUGAAGCAUAAACACCCAAGUUACACCACCACAGACGGAAGUGACGAUGCACGCAGCUUCGCCCGUCUGUCCUCCCAGCGCGUCACUCAGCGCCGUGACGACACGCGGAGAACAAACACGAAGGACGAGAUUACACGAGCAAAGCGAGCGAGACCCUGCUCGUGCACUGUUUACGACAUGGCUUAGUAUUUACGACAGCUUGA